CUCACCCAACCUGUCCAAGUCACCCUGCAAUCUCAUAGCAUCCUCCUCACAGUUCACACGGCCACCCAGCUAUGUGUCAUCUGCAAAUGUGUUCAUGUUAAUUUUAAUCCCUUCAUUGAAAUCAUUAAUAUAUAUUGUAAAUAGCUGGGGUCCCAUCACUGAGCCUUGC